AUUGAAUGGCAAAGAACUUCGUUGACUCAUUUUUAAACCCCAAAAUUAGAAAACCCUAAAACAUGAACAAAAUUGGGAACUGCAAAUUGAACCCAAAAUUCAUCCCAAAUCCAUCAUUCAAAUUUGUGGAAGAGCAAAAUCCAUCAAGAGGAGGUACGAAUUGUAGGGAAGGUCUGCAAGUUUGCUUUAUCUUACAGCCCCGACACCAAAAGCUUUCGCCAGAAAUUUGAAGUCACUGGAAAGCUGCAAAAUGGAGACCAUUACAUUGAUGCUACAUCCAUUAGCCGGUGAAUGAGGUGUGGAUGGAGUUGGUGACACAAAGGCAAAGCCUUUAUGAGGCUUUGAUUGGUACCACUAGGAUCAAAUAGCCACAAGACCAUCUUUCGAAACUUAGACUAGUUAUUGGGUGGAAUGCUGAGUUCCAUCUACACGGGAUUGCACGACAUGUUCUACCUAUGUUUCGAGAUCAGUUAACAGGCCCAUGUCCUGAAGAGGUAUUAUAAUUUUGCUGAGAGUUUGUUCUGAGACUUUGCCAGUGUACUGACCAAGCUAAUAAAAUAUACGAACUUGU